CGCGUAGGUGGUUUGUUAAGCGAGAUGUGAAAGCCCCGGGCUUAACCUGGGAACGGCAUUUCGAACUGGCAGACCAGAGUGUGGUAGAGGGUAGUGGAAUUUCCUGUGUAGCGGUGAAAUGCGUAGAUAUAGGAAGGAACACCAGUGGCGAAGGCGGCUACCUGGACCAACACUGACACUGAGGUGCGAAAGCGUGGGGAGCAAACA
rnacentral:rRNA from 1 species